rnacentral:piRNA from 1 species
CCUUGAACUCACAGAUAUCCACCUGCCU